AUGUCCCGCUACCUGCGCCCCCCCCAACACAUCUCUGUUCGUAAGGAACGUGGCCGACGAUACCAGGUCCGAAGAUUUACAAAGAGAAUUUGGUCGUUAUGGUCCUAUAGUUGAUGUGUAUGUUCCACUUGAUUUCUACACGCGCCGUCCAAGAGGAUUUGCUUAUGUUCAAUUUGAGGAUGUCCGUGAUGCCGAAGACGCUUUACAUAAUUUGGACAGAAAAUGGAUUUGUGGACGCCAAAUUGAAAUACAGUUUGCACAGGGGGAUCGGAAGACUCCAAAUCAAAUGAAAGCCAAGGAGGGGAGGAAUGUAUACAGCUCUUCACGCUAUGAUGAUUAUGACAGAUACAGACGUUCUAGAAGCCGGAGUUAUGAAAGAAGAAGAUCAAGAAGCCGGUCCUUUGAUUACAACUAUAGAAGAUCUUAUAGUCCUAGAAACAGGAGACCGGCUGGAAGACCACGGCGUAGCAGAAGCCAUUCCGACAAUGAUAGACCAAACUGCAGCUGGAAUACCCAGUACAGUUCUGCUUACUACACUUCAAGAAAGAUCUGAGAAAGCGGAAAAAGAACCAAAGAAGGGCAGUUCAAGCGACCAAAGGGUGGGUGGAAGGUGCUGCAGUAUGAAUACUGUACGAAUAUUUUGACUCUGGUCUGAAAAGAUAAAAGAAUGUUAUCGAAACUACAUGGAAUAAUUGAAGUCCCUUCAAGUUUGAAAGUAAGCAUUUUAGGACAAAUAAAAGGAAAUUCAACUUUGUACUUGUGGAAACUAAUCCCUAAAUCUGAAUAGGUUUAUAUUGAUUCAUGGGUAACAGGUCCAUAAUAAAUGAAUGGAAACUAGGAUGUCUGAAUAUCAAGGAAGACAGCCAUAGUCUCUUACAGUGCCUCUGUUGGUCUGUCUCAAACGGAAGUGGGUGAGAAAAGGCAUGGUCCAAUAUAAACUUUUUCUUGGUUGUCUCUUAAAGUCAGUUCCAUUUUUGCUAUUGGCAAAUCUUGCCUUUGUUUAUUCCAGUGCCAGUGUUUUUCUGCUUAAUGAUUUGCUUUGUUGGCAUCUAAGUUUAUUUACUUGUAUGCCAUGUGCAGUUUACAUCUUCCUUAUGUUCUCUUUCCCAGGUAAAUUCCAGUUGUAAUACUUGACAUCUAGCUAAGAGGGUCCAUCUUGUCUCACCUCUGUCCUAAGUCAGUAUAUUCAGCAAACAUUUAUUUACUGAGCCCUUACUGUGGGCAAAAAUUGUACUGGGUAAUUGGGGAGAAAAUUCACUUACUUAAUGUCUACUGAGCACAAUCUAGUGAAUCAUUACAGUAUGGCCUCAUUGUUUUGAGGUGUAUUCUAACUGUUUUACACCAUUCAUAUCUUAAUGUAAUUAUAAAACCCAGAAUACUAUCAAAGAUAAUUUUGUGAUUAUCUGCCAUUUAAAAGUAUCCAGUAUUUGUUUGCAUCCCAUUAAUACAAAUAAUGAAAAAAUGUUUUAAUCUGUAAUAAACUGAUUUAUUGUGCAGUGACUGUAAUAUACUAGAGUUAUAUUAAAUUGUUAACUCUGCCUCCUCAAACACAUAUUAGGAAAUAAUCCCCAAAAUAAGUAUUUAACUUUGCAUUAGAUAUAAAGGAGACUCUGGGUGCUAUAAUUAGAUUAUUUUGAGGCAGACAGAGAGCUGUUAUCCCAACUGAUUUAGUAUGUUCUGUAAUUGAGAAAAUGUUCACCAGAUUAUACUUUUUAGUGAUUUACAUGUACAUUUUAUAGGGGACAUGUUCUGUGUAUAGUGAAUAAAUAACUUUUAUAGUAUCAC